GACGAACUUAGGCGGCGUGCUUAACACAUGCAAGUCGAACGGAAAGGCCCUGCUUUUGUGGGGUGCUCGAGUGGCGAACGGGUGAGUAACACGUGAGUAACCUGCCCUUGACUUUGGGAUAACUUCAGGAAACUGGGGCUAAUACCGGAUAGGAGCUCCUGCUGCAUGGUGGGGGUUGAAGAGUUUCGGCGGUUGGGGAUGGACUCGCGGCUUAUCAGCUUGUUGGUGGGGUAGUGGCUUACCAAGGCUUUGACGGGUAGCCGGCCUGAGAGGGUGACCGGCCACAUUGGGACUGAGAUACGGCCCAGACUCCUACGGGAGGCAGCAGUGGGGAAUAUUGCACAAUGGGCGGAAGCCUGAUGCAGCAACGCCGCGUGCGGGAUGACGGCCUUCGGGUUGUAAACCGCUUUCGCCUGUGACGAAGCGUGAGUGACGGUAAUGGGUAAAGAAGCACCGGCUAACUACGUGCCAGCAGCCGCGGUGAUACGUAGGGUGCGAGCGUUGUCCGGAUUUAUUGGGCGUAAAGGGCUCGUAGGUGGUUGAUCGCGUCGGAAGUGUAAUCUUGGGGCUUAACCCUGAGCGUGCUUUCGAUACGGGUUGACUUGAGGAAGGUAGGGGAGAAUGGAAUUCCUGGUGGAGCGGUGGAAUGCGCAGAUAUCAGGAGGAACACCAGUGGCGAAGGCGGUUCUCUGGGCCUUUCCUGACGCUGAGGAGCGAAAGCGUGGGGAGCGAACAGGCUUAGAUACCCUGGUAGUCCACGCUGUAAACGGUGGGUACUAGGUGUGGGGUCCAUUCCACGGGUUCCGUGCCGUAGCUAACGCUUUAAGUACCCCGCCUGGGGAGUACGGCCGCAAGGCUAAAACUCAAAGGAAUUGACGGGGCCCCGCACAAGCGGCGGAGCAUGCGGAUUAAUUCGAUGCAACGCGUAGAACCUUACCUGGGUUUGACAUGGAUCGGGAGUGCUCAGAGAUGGGUGUGCCUCUUUUGGGGUCGGUUCACAGGUGGUGCAUGGCUGUCGUCAGCUCGUGUCGUGAGAUGUUGGGUUAAGUCCCGCAACGAGCGCAACCCUUGUUCACUGUUGCCAGCACGUUAUGGUGGGGACUCAGUGGAGACCGCCGGGGUCAACUCGGAGGAAGGUGGGGAUGACGUCAAGUCAUCAUGCCCCUUAUGUCCAGGGCUUCACGCAUGCUACAAUGGCUGGUACAGAGAGUGGCGAGCCUGUGAGGGUGAGCGAAUCUCGGAAAGCCGGUCUCAGUUCGGAUUGGGGUCUGCAACUCGACCUCAUGAAGUCGGAGUCGCUAGUAAUCGCAGAUCAGCAACGCUGCGGUGAAUACGUUCCCGGGGCU
rnacentral:rRNA from 1 species